AUUAGGUCAUCUGCAUGGGGGGUUCGUGGUCAUUUCAAGAAACCCCCACAGCUGGUAGAGUCAGACUCUGCCCCUUACUUUUGUCCUAUUAACCUUCAACUCUUCUUUUUUUACCCAACAAAUCAUUCUCUUCAUCAUCACACACACAAACACACUCUUUAAUCUCUAUCCCUUUCAUCUUUCUCUACUCAGUCCAGCUUCCCCCCUUAAAGAUAGGCGAGAGUUUUGGGGGAUAAAUAUGGUACAACAAAUAUAUAUAUAUACAGAGAAUAUCAUAAACAUAAUAACACAGCAUCUUCAAGGGGGGCUUUUCUAUUGUGGGGAAUGUUGUCUGGCUCGAGGAAUCAAAUUCUUAUUCAAACCUUUUUAUAGAUCUAUAUCUUAUUCAUAGAUCCAUAUUGUUGAAUCAUGUUUUUGGUGUCGUCGGACCAGGCUUCAUUCCCCUCAAAGAUAUUGCUCACUCAUUCAUCAGAUUUCAUCUUUUUCAUUAUCCGUUUCUAUAGUAUUCAGUGAAGAGACUACUGCUUUAGAUUUAAGCAGCUUGGUACAAUUAUUGGCUUCAAGGUAAAGGCUUCCUCUUAAACUUGGAAAAACUAAAACAGAUGCGCUUAAGUAUUAGGUUGAGAUUUUCAGAAGAUGGGAACUGAAACGAGCCUUUUGCAGUAAUGAUUAUAUACUGUAAAUUAAAAAAUUACUUUUUUUACAUGGAGAAACGCUUUUUGCAACUUGCAUAUAUGGAAUCUCUUUUGACAUAGCAUCUUAGUUUAUGAGGUCAAUUCCUUGAUAAAUUAGGUUAAAACAAUUGGCUGGAAAGACAGCUAAUUAAAGGCAUUGAAAAGUUAGAUAGAUAUACUUAAAAGAGAGAGAAAAGAUAGUAUAUAUAUGUUGUUGACAUUUGGUAGCUAAACGAGAUGUUAUGUCUUUCUAAUGUGAAUAUAGGCCUUUUUACUUACUACCUCUUGCCUGUGAGAAAGAAAACAAAAUUACUUUCUUGUUAGAAUUCAUUGCUUUUUCUAAUUCCAUCUUCAAGGAAAACACAGAAAAGGAGAAACACUGUUUGGUAGGUCACAAAGGGAGAGCUUUCUGUAAGACUUAUAAAACACGGUGCUUGAUUUGAAUAUAUUCUGCAGAAGUGCUAAAUAAAUGUAGUACGUAACUUGUUUUUCCUCUUCCUCGGCCAUGUAUGACACUCACAUUCUCCUACAAGAUAGAGCAGGAUACAUUUCAAAUUGAAAUUUGAUGGAUUCAAUCUUUAGGGUGACACACACAUUGUACUUUUAAAACUACUAGUUAAAAAUUUAAUUUUCUAAAAUUAUAAUACUAGUAUUCUCACUUCUGAUGUAGUCUAUAGACUUGAGACAAUCGGAGCAAUGUGCACUAUUCGUUUUUCUACCACCUCUUUUUUCCUCGUUUAGAUGAAAAUCAGGGAGAUACUUUAUGACAUAAUUUUUUAUUUUUAAAUAAUGUCAUUGGAAUAUGAAUAUUGGAUAACUUAGUUGUUUUUUAUAAUGUCAUUGGAAUAUGAAUAUUGGAUAACUUUGUUGUUUUUUAUAACGUCAUUGGAAUAUGAAUAUUGGAUAGUUUAAUUGUUUUUUAUAAUAUCACUGGAAUAUGAAUAUUACAAGUUGUCCUAAAAAGAAAAUUGAGAAGGACAGCAUCAAUGCAAAACCGAAAGUAGAAGAAAGAUAAACGUCGGUCAUAAUACGAAAGAAUAGGAAACUGGAUAUCUCUAGUCCCUAUCUGCAUUUCAAUUUCAUUUUAGGCUAGGAUUUGCAAAAUGAAAACUCAGUAAUUUCGAGUUUGUGAUGGUAGAUUCUGCAGUUAUGUGGACCUGAAAUUAGUGAAUGAAAGAAAGGAAGUGGGAACUAUGCGUAUCUUAAUUGUAUACUCCAAUAACUGUCAUUCAUCUAGUCUGAGCAACAACCAACAGGUAGACUUGUGAAGUCAUUUAUAAUGCUCAACUAGCAAGGGGUAGUGUUAAGAAAAUGUAUGAACAGUGACUGAUACGGAAUACUGUUUGUGGAGAUGGAAUCUUUUUGACUUAGCAAAUCAAUAAAAGUGGAGGCUGUACGUUGCCUUUUUGCUUUUGCUU